rnacentral:tRNA from 1 species
GUCAGGAUGGCCGAGCGGUCUAAGGCGCCAGACUCAAGUGUUAAAACUUGUUCUGCUCCAGCAGAAUUCGUACGACGAGCGUUCUGGUCCUCUCUGAGGGCGUGGGUUCAAAUCCCACUCCUGACA